UUAUGAUUAGUGGCGCACGGGUGAGUAAUAUAUAGGUAACAUGCCCUAGAGAGGGGGAUAACAGUUGGAAACGACUGCUAACACCCCAUAUGCCUUUAAGAUUUAAGUCUGCAAGGGAAACAUUUAUGGCUCUAGGAUUGGCCUGUACGGUAUCAGCUUGUUGGUGAGGUAAUGGCUCACCAAGGCAAUGACACCUAACUGGUUUGAGAGGAUGAUCAGUCACACUGGAACUGAGACACGGUCCAGACUCC
rnacentral:rRNA from 1 species